AUCAAUAAGCGGAGGAAAAGCAACUAACCAGGAUUUCCCCAGUAACGGCGAGCGAAGCGGGAUGAGCUCGAGCAGUCAAUCUCUGGCGUGSACCGCCAGCGAAUUGUGGCCGGGAGAGGCGGGUGCACUGGAGGCGCCUCUGUCGAAGUUGACCUGGAAAGGCACGUCGGAGAGGGUGAUAGCCCCGUGGGUGGGCGGAGGUGCCGAAAGCCGCUACCGUCUUCCGAGAGUCGGGUUGUUUGAGAUUGCAGCCCAAAUGGGGUGGUAAACUCCAUCUAAAGCCAAACAGCGGCACGAGACCGAUAGCGAACAAGUACCAUGAGGGAAAGGUGAAAAGCACUUUGGAAAGAGAGUUAAAGAGACCGCGAAACCGUUAGGAGGGAAACGCAUGCAGCCGAACUGGCCUUCGUCGGGUUCACGGGGUYGCGCGAGUCCUGGUCGAGCCGGGCGUCACCCAUGCGGGGUCGUCUGCUCGGCGGA
rnacentral:rRNA from 1 species